UACGUAGGGUGCGAGCGUUAAUCGGAAUUACUGGGCGUAAAGCGUGCGCAGGCGGUUUUGUAAGCCAGAUGUGAAAUCCCCGGGCUUAACCUGGGAAUGGCAUUUGGGACUGCAAGGCUCGAGUGCGGAAGAGGAGACUGGAAUUCCUGGUGUAGCAGUGAAAUGCGUAGAUAUCAGGAGGAACACCGAUGGCGAAGGCAGGUCUCUGGGCUGACACUGACGCUCAUGCACGAAAGCGUGGGGAGCAAACAGG
rnacentral:rRNA from 1 species